GAUGAACGCUAGCGGCAGGCUUAAUACAUGCAAGUCGUGGGGCAGCAGGUUUGUAGCAAUACAGAUGCUGGCGACCGGCAAACGGGUGCGGAACACGUACGCAACCUUCCAUUAAGUGGGGAAUAGCCCAGGGAAACUUGGAUUAAUACCCCGUAACAUUACGAAGUGGCAUCACUUUGUACUUAUAGCUCCGGCGCUUAAUGAUGGGCGUGCGUCUGAUUAGGUAGUUGGCGGGGUAACGGCCCACCAA
rnacentral:rRNA from 1 species